ACUAAUUGCAUUAUAUGUAAUAAUGAUUAUGUCAUAUAAAAUUCUAAGCAUAAUUUUGAUAAUGACAAAAUAUGUCUAAAGGUCUUGACCAAUUCACGUGCCAGCAGUCGCGGUAACACGUGUAAGACUAGUGUUAUUCAUCUUUAAUAGGUUUAAAGGGUACCUAAACGGUAAAAUAAGCCAAAAAGGGACUAUUUUACUAGAGUUUAAUAAGAGGGGGUAGUACGGCAGGUGUAGUGAUGAAAUACAAUCAUAUCUGAGGGACUGUUAACGGCGAAAGCGAUCCUUUAUAUAAAAACUGACGUUGAGGGACGAAGGCUAUGCACCACCAAAAGGAUUAGAAACCCAAGUAGUCUUAGCAGACAAUGAUGAAUGCCAUAAACAAGAUUAAUUAAUUUUGUUUAUAAAUGAAAGUGUAAGCAUUUCACCUCAAGAGUAAUGUGGCAACGCAGAAACUGAAAUCAUUAGGCCGCUUCUGAAACCAGUAGUGAAGUAUGUUGUUUAAUUUGAUGACCCGCAAAUAACCUCACCACAAUUUGAAUAUUAUAUAUAUAUAUUUACAAGCGUUGCACGGCUGUCUUCAGUUAAUGUCGUGAGAUUUUGGUUAGAUCCAUUUAAUUAACGUAAACCCUUACUUUAUUUUUUUAUAUAAAGUAGUUCACCUAUACAGUGGUAAUGAUAUAAGGGACUAAGACAAGUCAUCAUGGCCUUAAUAUUGUGGGCUAUAGACGUGCCACAUAUAUCUUGACAAAGAGAUGCAAAAUUGUGAAAUUUAGCUAAUCUCCUAAAAUAGAUAAUAAG
rnacentral:rRNA from 1 species